UCGGUAACGGCCAGAACAGACAGCCUGGGCCCUGCCGCAGGCUGACUCAGAAUCUUUGGGAGUAGUGACCAACUUCUGCUUUUGGAAAAACCUCUACAGGCGGUUCUGAGAAGUCCAAGGGUUGCUGGGAGAGGUUGCAGGUUGCACGCCAGGGCCUGUACUGACCACCUCCACGUGCCACUGGGGCUGUAAGGAGGAAUGGCGGCCGUGGGCAGCCUGCUUGGUCCUUGCUAUUGUCCACUGUCCCCUGUGCUGGAAGCUUUGUGCCCUUGCUCAGCCUGGCAGCCUCUUCCUGGCUAGGGGGCCAGAACGCCUCUGACCACAGCCUGUGGCUCCUGAGGAAGCCCCGAGGCUCAUCCUGCCCCGGCACGGGUCACCAGCUCUGCCGGCUGAGGCAGAGCACCGUGAAGGCCACCGGACCUGCACUCCGCCGCCUGCACACAUCCUCCUGGCGAGCUGACAGCAGCAGG
rnacentral:lncRNA from 1 species